UGGGGAAUAUUGCACAAUGGGCGCAAGCCUGAUGCAGCCAUGCCGCGUGUAUGAAGAAGGCCUUCGGGUUGUAAAGUACUUUCAGCGGGGAGGAAGGGAGUAAAGUUAAUACCUUUGCUCAUUGACGUUACCCGCAGAAGAAGCACCGGCUAACUCCGUGCCAGCAGCCGCGGUAAUACGGAGGGUGCAAGCGUUAAUCGGAAUUACUGGGCGUAAAGCGCACGCAGGCGGUUUGUUAAGUCAGAUGUGAAAUCCUCGGGCUCAACCUGGGAACUGCAUCUGAUACUGGCAAGCUGGAGUGUCGUAGAGGGGGGUAGAAUUCCAGGUGUAGCGGUGAAAUGCGUAGAGAUCUGGAGGAAUACCGGUGGCGAAGGCGGCCCCCUGGACGAAGACUGACGCUCAGGUGCGAAAGCGUGGGGAGCAAACAGG
rnacentral:rRNA from 1 species